rnacentral:rRNA from 1 species
GAUGAACGCUGGCGGCGUGCCUAAUACAUGCAAGUCGAACGAACGGACGAUAAGCUUGCUUGGUGCAUGUUAGCGGCGGAGGUGUGAGUAACGCGUGUAUAACCUACUUAUCUUACUGGGAUCAUUUCGGGAAUCCGGAGAUAAUACCGGAUGAUAUCUUGAUCCGCAUUGUUGAAUAGUGAAAGACGGUGUUGGUGGCUGGAAUAGAGGGAUCCUCGCUGCAUUAGGUAGUUGGUAAGGUAACGGCUUACCAAGGCAACGAUGCAUAGCCGACCUGGGAGGGUGAUCGCCCACAUGGGAACUGGAACAGGGACCAGACUCCUACGGGAGGCAGCAGUAGGGAACCUUCCGCAAUGGGCGAAAGCAUGACGGAGCAACGCCGCGUGAGAGAUAACGGUCUUGGGUUCGUAAAGAUCUCUUAUUAGGGAAGAACAUAUGUGUAAGUAAAUGUACACAUCGUGACGGUACCUAAUCAGAAAGCCACGGCUAACUACGUG